rnacentral:tRNA from 2 species
AGGGGCGUAGCUCAGCUGGCCAGAGCACCGGUCUCCAAAACCGAUGGUCGCAGGUUCGAGUCCUGCCGCCCCUG